CCUACGGGGGGCAGCAGUGGGGAAUAUUGGGCAAUGGGCGCAAGCCUGACCCAGCAACGCCGCGUGAAGGAAGAAGGCUCUCGGGUUGUAAACUUCUUUUAAGAGGGAAGAGCAGAAGACGGUACCUCUUGAAUAAGCCACGGCUAACUACGUGCCAGCAGCCGCGGUAAUACGGAGGGGGCAAGCGUUGUCCGGAUUUACUGGGUGGAAAGGGCGUGGAGCCGGGAAGACAAGUCAGAUGGGAAAACCCCCGGCCCAACCGCGGAACUGCAUUUGAAACUGGUUUUCUUGAGUACCGGAGAGGUACUCGGAAUUCCUGGUGUAGCGGUGAAAUGCAUAGAUAUCAGGAAGAACACCGAUGGCGAAGGCAGAUUACUGGACGGCAACUGACGGUGAGGCGCGAAAGCGUGGGGAGCAAACAGGAUUAGAUACCCGAGUAGUC
rnacentral:rRNA from 1 species